rnacentral:rRNA from 1 species
GACGAACGCUGGCGGCGUGCUUAACACAUGCAAGUCGAGCGAUGAAGUUUCUUCGGAAAUGGAUUAGCGGCGAACGGGUGAGGAACACGUGAAGAAUCUGCCCUCCACUUUGGGAUAACACCGGGAAACCGGUGCUAAUACCGAAUAUUGAAACAUAAGUGGCAACACUGAGUUUUGAAAGAAUUUCGGUGGAGGAUGACUUCGCGGCCUAUCAGCUAGUUGGUGGGGUAAUGGCUCACCAAGGCAACGACGGGUAGCCGGCCUGAGAGGGCGACCGGCCACACUGGGACUGAGACACGGCCCAGACUCCUACGGGAGGCAGCAGUGGGGAAUAUUGGGCAAUGGAGGAAACUCUGACCCAGCGACGCCGCGUGCGGGAUGAAGGCCUUCGGGUUGUAAACCGCUUUCAGUAGGGAAGAAGCGAAAGUGACGGUACCUACAAAAGAAGCACCGGCUAACUAUGUGCCAGCCGCCGCCGUAA